rnacentral:rRNA from 1 species
UACAGAGGUCUCAAGCGUUGUUCGGAUUUAUUGGGCGUAAAGGGUGCGUAGGCGGCGGAGCAAGUGAGGUGUGAAAUCCCGGAGCUCAACUCCGGAACUGCACUUUAUACUACUUCGCUUGAGUCUUGGAGAGGAGACUGGAAUUUACGGUGUAGCAGUGAAAUGCGUAGAUAUCGUAAGGAAGACCAGUGGCGAAGGCGAGUCUCUGGACAAAGACUGACGCUGAGGCACGAAGGCCAGGGGAGCAAACGGG